rnacentral:lncRNA from 1 species
CAAUAGGGAAAGAGAUGUAAAAAAAAAGAAGAUAAGAUGAAAAUCUGAAUGAAUAAAUCCCCGACGUAAGACCCUUUUUAUAGUUAGCAAUGGGAUGUGUUCAGAUUCAACUCAUGCCCUCUCAACGUGACAUCUCAUGCCCAUCCAGAUGUUCUCACACCCCAAGUCAAUUUUUCAUGCCCAUCUGGAAGCAAAUGACACAUGACAAAUAUCGAGAAAGGAAUCUGAGAGUUGCUUCGCAUAGAAAGACUCUUCAAAAAAAAAUUUCUUGAUGUUUCUUCGAUGCAUCGUGAGGCUUCAUUGGGUGGCAUUUCUCUCCGCCAUUGAUCAGCACAUUUUGGCCAUCUAAGGGAUCACAAACGAGGCACUAAUCAGAAGAUGGCAUGGAGAAAAUUUAUGAAUAAAAGGUGGUGUGACACAUUUGUAAGAUUCCUAAACAAAUUGGACUCUAUGUGGCGCAUAGAUAGAUUUGGAUAGGUUUCCAAACUUUAUCAAAUUUUCACAAAUAAACCAUGAAGUGAUUUAACCACAGAAGGACUCCUCUGUAUCUAAAAUUAGAUCAUAAUUUUUCAAGAAUUAUUUUCCAACAUGAAACAAAGAGAUAAGGAUGAGGAAGGGGCAUCCCAUCAUGGCACAAAAUCCCUAGCUCAUCCAGCCAUGGGUUCACCUAACUUAAAUCCAAAGUUGGUUUGAAUUAAUUUGGAUUUAAUUAGUCCAAUCUGGAUUCAAAUUCGAACCUGAUUCGAAACAAAAAGCUAGGAUUUACAACAUAUGCUAGUACAUCUAUCUUGCAAAUAUGAUCUAAUCCAAUUAGACUCCUGAUCAAUUCUCUUUGUGUGUGACCCAUUGGGUUCCAUAUAUAGCCAGC